rnacentral:rRNA from 1 species
GACAGGUGGUGCAUGGUUGUCGUCAGCUCGUGUCGUGAGAUGUUGGGUUAAGUCCCGCAACGAGCGCAACCCUUAAGCUUAGUUGCCAUCAUUAAGUUGGGCACUCUAAGUUGACUGCCGGUGACAAACCGGAGGAAGGUGGGGAUGACGUCAAAUCAUCAUGCCCCUUAUGAUUUGGGCUACACACGUGCUACAAUGGACAAUACAAAGGGCAGCGAAACCGCGAGGUCAAGCAAAUCCCAUAAAGUUGUUCUCAGUUCGGAUUGUAGUCUGCAACUCGACUACAUGAAGCUGGAAUCGCUAGUAAUCGUAGAUCAGCAUGCUACGGUGAAUACGUUCCCGGGUCUUGUACACACCGCCCGUCACACCACGAGAGUUUGUAACACCCGAAGCCGGUGGAGUAACCUUUUAGGAGCUAGCCGUCGAAGGUGGGACAAAU